UGUCUCAAUACAAAUGUACAAGGAAACUGUCACUAGCAGACCCCUCUGCCCUUCUCCCAAACAGUCAGUGAUGGUUAAAUGUCAGCUCUCCUGCUUUUGUGGACUGCAGCCAGCAGCUGGGGGAACAUCUUGAGCAUACAACAGCUGGAGCGUAAAGGGAAUUCCCACCUGCGUAGCUGUGCUGUGCGGAUGAAAUAUUUCAAUGAUUUCUCUCAGUGGCACAUUUAACACCAACGCUGUAUCAUACAUCAUGGGCAACAUUGAAUAGCAGAAUGCAGAACAUGGCUUCUCUUCAAAUGACUUGGAUAGGAAAGUACCCAAACACCAGGAAAUAUUACUGCCGUUAUAGAGAAAAAUAAAUAAAUAAAUACCACAGGGCACCGCAGGAGACCAAUUAUUUAACACAAUAAACUUAGGUUCCUACUAUAUCGAAUGCUUUGGUCCCAGAAUACGGAGGAAGUUUCAGAACAAUUGGCUUGCUGCUGCCUGAAGUGAUCUUCUGCCAUUCCGGACAUUUUUGGAAGUUAGAGGAAUUAGAGGAAUAACAUAUGUUUUUUUGA